GACGAACGCUGGCGGCGUGCCUAAUACAUGCAAGUCGAACGAGUGGCGGACGGGUGAGUAACACGUGGGAACCUACCCAUCAGAGGGGGAUAACACUUGGAAACCGGUGCUAAUACCGCAUACUUUUGGAUGGACCUGCGUUGUAUUAGCUAGUUGGUGAGGUAAAGGCUCACCAAGGCGACGAUACAUAGCUGGACUGAGAGGAUGACCAGCCAAACUGUAAGUGAGACACGGUCCAGACUCCUACGGGAGGCAGCAGUGGGGAAUAUUGCAUAAUGGGCGCAAGCCGGAUGCAGCCAUGCCGCGUGUAUGAAGAAGGCCUUCGGGUUGUAAAGUACUUUCAGCGAGGAGGCGUUACUCGCAGAAGAAGCACCGGCUAACUCCGUGCCAGCAGCCGCGGUAAUAC
rnacentral:rRNA from 1 species